rnacentral:rRNA from 1 species
AACGAACGCUGGCGGCAUGCCUAACACAUGCAAGUCGAACGAGACCUUCGGGUCUAGUGGCGCACGGGUGCGUAACGCGUGGGAACCUGCCCUUAGGUUCGGAAUAACUCCCCGAAAGGGGUGCUAAUACCGGAUAAUGUCUUCGGACCAAAGAUUUAUCGCCUUGGAUGGGCCCGCGUUGGAUUAGCUAGUUGGUAGGGUAAAAGCCUACCAAGGCGACGAUCCAUAGCUGGUCUGAGAGGAUGAUCAGCCACACUGGGACUGAGACACGGCCCAGACUCCUACGGGAAGCAGCAGUGGGGAAUAUUGGACAAUGGGCGAAAGCCUGAUCCAGCAAUGCCGCGUGAGUGAUGAAGGCCUUAGGGUUGUAAAGCUCUUUUACCCGGGAUGAUAAUGACAGUACCGGGAGAAUAAGCUCCGGCUAACUCCGUG